rnacentral:sRNA from 1 species
AAUAUUCAAAGAAUGAUUCCUUAUUACUUAUAUUUAUAUAAUUUUAGGCCAUCGUAUGAUUAAAUUUUCAAAUAUAAAUAAGCAAACCCUGCCAUUUGUCAUUUGUAUUAUGGGUUAUAUAGUACAAAAUCGUUACAAGUAGUACAUGUUAUAACAGACAGAGACACUGGAUAAUGUAAAUAUAAUGUAUUGAUAUCAACAGAUGUCCCAUACCACCUUAAUAUACAUGUAUAUGUUUAUUAAUUAAUUUUGGAUUCAACUAAAAUUCUUUGCUGCUUUGCUUAGGUGUCAUUAUCACUAGCAAGUUCAUGGUUUACUUUUGUCAUAAUUGUUAGAGAACGUUAUAGAUAGUAAAAUACUUGUAAUUUAAUGAGGAAAGCUGUAUUACAGUAUGACAAGAUAAGAGUAUAAUUCAUUUAGUAGAACAUAUAGUCUGACAAAAUUUAAAUCAUCCCCUUCUCUUACUCUGGCCAGACUACUGAUGAGAGAAAUGAAGAGAGUAAGAAGAAUUGGGGGUGGUUAAAUCAAACUGUAGUAAAUAUACAUGUAAAUUGCUGGUCACUUAUUGAUCACUGUAACAUCUAGACCAAGCACAGAAAAAUAACCUGUUCUCUAUGUACUCGCUAACCAUUCCAUUUAAAGAGAACAAGGAAUUUCCAAAUCUCCUUUUUUUUUUUUUAAAUUCUGCAGCAUUUUUAUUCAUGAAUUAAAAAAUAGAUUAGUUCUCUUCAUGUACACUCUACGAGUAAUGUACUAGAAGAUGGUGUUAAUUUUUUUUCUUGGAGUGGUAUGACAUGCUUGUAUGUAUGGGAUCAUUGGGGUGUGGUUUGAGGGCAUCUUUAUGUGCAGUUUAUUGCCUAAAUUUUUCUAUUAAAAAGCUUUCCAACUGAUUUUAUUGCAAGGUUUUGAAUUAUUCUGUAUAUAGCUUACAUUGUUUUCAAUGAUAUGUACAUGUAGAUGGAUAAUUUAAUUUGGUUUUAGACUGUAUUUACCAAUCCAUGUAAUUUAAAAGUACAUGUACAUAUCUAUAGCUUAAAUUAACAUUUUCCAAUGAAAGUCGGACAACUGAUCAGAAUUCAUGUUAGAAAUACAAGUAAAGCAAAUUCUUAUUGCCAAGGGAGAGUCCUUAAAAAUCUGUCUAUAAAUUAUUAUUUGAUGGAGUGGUUGGUAUUUUGUUACAAUUGGAUGGAAUUUUAUUUCAAUUAGUCAGUGAAAUCAAAACCAUUUACUUGUAUAAUUGAUUUUUUGGAAUAAAAUUUUGAAUGCCC